CGGACAGAAGCCCGCUGGAUGGGGUGUUUAGCUGUUAAUUAAAUUUUUGCGGGAUCAAGGCCCGCCUGUCUAG
rnacentral:tRNA from 1 species